UACGGAGGGUGCGAGCGUUGUCCGGAAUCAUUGGGCGUAAAGGGCGCGUAGGUGGCCCGGUCAGUCCGUGGUGAAAGCGCGGGGCUCAACCCCGCGUCGGCCAUGGAUACUGCUGGGCUUGAGCACUGUAGAGGCAGGCGGAAUUCCGGGUGUAGCGGUGGAAUGCGCAGAUAUCAGGAGGAACACCAAUGGCGAAGGCAGCUCGCUGGAACGGUACUGACGCUGAGGCGCGAAAGCGUGGGGAGCGAACAGG
rnacentral:rRNA from 1 species